rnacentral:tRNA from 1 species
GCGGAAGUAGCUCAGUUGGUAGAGCACAACCUUGCCAAGGUUGGGGUCGCGGGUUCGAAUCCCGUCUCGCGCU